rnacentral:lncRNA from 1 species
AUAGCUGGUCCUGCAUGGAACCCUGGGGUUUCAGGGUUAGGGGGCUUCAGAGCUCACUGAGGUCAAUCUCCCCAGGCUAUAGAUGAGAAAUCAGGACCAGGGAUGGGGAGGGAGCUGUCCUACCUUGGCUGCUCUCUGAGUCAGCCCCAUUGUCUCCCACCAAGCUCAGGGUGGCCUAGCCCUCCCUCCUAAACACCCUCUAAGUCACCUGGAUUCUGUCUGCCCACUGGCAGGCAGCCAUCCCCUCUGUGGCAUAGCAGGCACCGGGCAUGGAGAAAAUGAGUUCUUGGCAGAUACGGGU